rnacentral:rRNA from 1 species
CCCUUAGAUGUUCUGGGCCGCACGCGCGCUACAAUGGCAGACUCAGCGAGUUACCUCUGUCGAAAGGCACAGGGAAUCUUUACAGUAUCUGCCGUGAUGGGGAUAGACCCUUGUAAUUUUUGGUCUUCAACGAGGAAUUCCUAGUAAACGCAAGUCAUUAACUUGCAUUGAUUACGUCCCUGCCCUUUGUACACACCGCCCAUCGCACCUACCGAUUGAAUGGUCCGGUGAAGUCCUCGGACCCAGUUGAACCUCGAGUUGAACAGGGAAAGUUGACUAAAUCUUACCAUUUAGAGGAAGGUGAAGUCGUAACA